GGAAUCUUGGACAAUGGGCGCAAGCCUGAUCCAGCCAUGCCGCGUGAGUGAAGAAGGCCUUCGGGUUGUAAACCUCUUUCGCCGGUGACGAUAAUGACGGUAGCCGGAGAAGAAGCCCCGGCCAACUCCGUGCCAGCAGCCGCGGUAAUACGGAGGGGGCUAGCGUUGUUCGGAAUUACUGGGCGUAAAGCGCGCGUAGGCGGCCAGGCAAGUUGGGCGUGAAAGCCCGGGGCUCAACCCCGGAGGUGCGCCCAAGACUGCCUGGCUGGAGGCCGAGAGAGGGUGGCGGAAUUCCCAGUGUAGAGGUGAAAUUCGUAGAUAUUGGGAAGAACACCGGUGGCGAAGGCGGCCACCUGGCUCGGUUCUGACGCUGAGGCGCGAAAGCGUGGGGAGCA
rnacentral:rRNA from 1 species